rnacentral:rRNA from 1 species
AUUGAACGCUGGCGGCAGGCCUAACACAUGCAAGUCGAGCGAGCGGCGGACGGGUGAGUCAUGUCUGGGAACCUGCCUGAUGGAGGGGGAUAACUACUGGAAACGGUAGCUAAUACCGCAUACCAUCAGAUGUGCCCAGAUGGGAUUAGCUAGUAGGUGGGGUACCGGCUCACCUAGGCCACGAUCCCUAGCUGGUCUGAGAGGAUGACCAGCCACACGGGAACGGAGACACGGUCCAGACUCCUACGGGAGGGAGCAGGGGGGAAGAGUGGACAAUGGGCGCAAGCCUGAUGCAGCCAUGCCGCGUGUGUGAAGAAGGCCUUCGGGUUGUAAAGCACUUUAAGCGGGGAGGCGUUACCCGCAGAAGAAGCACCGGCUAACUCCGUGCCAGCAGCCGCGGUAAUAC